rnacentral:rRNA from 1 species
GAUGAACGCUGGCGGCGUGCCUAAUACAUGCAAGUCGAGCGAACGGACGAGAAGCUUGCUUCUCUGAUGUUAGCGGCGGACGGGUGAGUAACACGUGGAUAACCUACCUAUCAGACUGGGAUAACUUCGGGAAACCGGCGCUAAUACCGGAUAAUAUUUUGAACCGCAUGGUUCAAUAGUGAAAGACGGUCUUGCUGUCACUUAUAGCUGCAUCUGGGCUGCAUUGGCUAGUUGGUAAGGUAACGGCCUACCAAGGCAACGAUGCAUAGCCGACGUGCGAGGCGGAUCGGCCGCAUGAGAGCGUGGACAGGGACCAUGGGCCUAAGAGAGGGAGCAGAAGGGAAUCUGACGCAAUGGGGGAAAGCCUGACGGAACAACGCCGCGUGAGAUAUAGAGGUCUUCGGAGCGUAAAACUCGGUUAUGAGGGAAGAACAGAUUUGGAAGGAACUGUGCACAGCGUGACGGUACCUAAUCAGAAAGCCACGGCUAACUACGUG